rnacentral:rRNA from 1 species
AUGAGUUAAGUAUAAACCCCUUUACAAGUAACAAUUGGAGGGCAAGUCUGGUGCCAGCAGCCGCGGUAAUUCCAGCUCCAAUAGCGUAUAUUAAAGUUGUUGCAGUUAAAAAGCUCGUAGUUGGAUUUCUGUUAAUAAUUUAUAUUAGUAUACAUUUUUGUAUUUAAUAUGAUAUUAACAUAAUUCAUAUUACUAAUUUUAGUAUAUGAAAUUUUACUUUGAGAAAAUUAGAGUGCUUAAAGCAGGCAAUUGCCUUGUAUACUACAGCAUGGAAUAAUAAUAAAAGAUUUUUAUCUUUUUUUUUUAUUGGUUCUAAGAUAAAAAUAAUGAUUAAUAGGGACAGUUGGGGGCAUUUGUAUUUAACAGUUAGAGGUGAAAUUCUUAGAUUUGUUAAAGACAAACUAAUGCGAAAGCAUUUGCCAAGGAUGUUUUCAUUAAUCAAGAACGAAAGUUAGGGGAUCGAAGACGAUCAGAUACCGUCGUAGU